GUUCCAGACUCCUACGGGAGGCAGCAGUGGGGAAUAUUGGGCAAUGGGCGCAAGCCUGACCCAGCAACGCCGCGUGAAGGAAGAAGGCUUUCGGGUUGUAAACUUCUUUUGACAGGGAAGAGCAGAAGACGGUACCUGUCGAAUAAGCCACGGCUAACUACGUGCCAGCAGCCGCGGUAAUACGUAGGUGGCAAGCGUUGUCCGGAUUUACUGGGUGUAAAGGGCGUGUAGCCGGGCUGACAAGUCAGAUGUGAAAUCGGGGGGCUCAACCCCCGAACUGCAUUUGAAACUGUUGGUCUUGAGUAUCGGAGAGGCAGGCGGAAUUCCUAGUGUAGCGGUGAAAUGCGUAGAUAUCAGGAGGAACACCGGCGGCGAAGGCGGCCCGCUGGACCGUGACUGACGUUGAGGCUCGAGAGCGUGGGGAGCAAACAGGAUUAGAUACCCGCGUAA
rnacentral:rRNA from 1 species